rnacentral:tRNA from 1 species
CCCCCUGUGGCUCAUUUGGUAGAGCAUGGUGUUUGCAACGCCAGCAUGGUGUGUGCAAUGCCAGGGUUGUGGGUUCGAUUCCCACAAGGGGCC